GCAAGUCGAACGGAGCAGCAGCUUGCUGUUGCUUAGUGGCGGAAGGGUUAGUAAUGCAUAGAUAAUCUGUCUUUAACUUGGGAAUAACGGUUGGAAACGAUCGCUAAUACCGAAUGUGGUGCGCAAAGUUCGCUUUAGCGUAUUAAAGAAGGGGACCUUAGGGCCUUUCGGUUGAUGAAGAGUCUAUGAGAUAUCAGCUAGUUGGUGAGGUAAAGGCUCACCAAGGCUAUGACGUCUAGGCGGAUUGAGAGAUUGAUCGCCAACACUGGGACUGA
rnacentral:rRNA from 1 species